rnacentral:rRNA from 1 species
UACGUAGGGUGCGAGCGUUAAUCGGAAUUACUGGGCGUAAAGCGUGCGCAGGCGGUUCGCCAAGUCAGGUGUGAAAUCCCCGGGCUUAACCUGGGGAAUUGCGCUUGAAACUAGCGGGCUUGAGUGCGGCGAGAGGGGGGGUGGGAAUUCCACGUGUAGCAGUGAAAUGCGUAGAGAUGUGGAGGAACACCGAUGGCGAAGGCAGCCCCCUGGGUCGACACUGACGCUCAUGCACGAAAGCGUGGGGAGCAAACAGG